UCCCUGGUGGCUCAGACGGUAAAGCGUCUGCCUACAAUGCAGGAGAUCCGGGUUCAGUCCCUGGGUUGGGAA
rfam:TPA: Bos taurus chromosome 1, whole genome shotgun sequence.